GUGCCUUUAUAAGACUGCGUCAAUGGUCCCGUGGAGUUAUCCCUUCUGUUGAUGUUUAUUGAUUGUCAAACAUGGCUUCAUUUGCAAAGGUGGUUGUGUGUGUCCUCAUUGCUUGUGUCUGUAAUGCAUUCGGUUUUCCGAAGAGAGAUGUGAACUUUAAGGCCUCUGCAGUUGACCGCCAAAGUGAUGAUGUGGUUGUCACCACAACACCCGUUCCCCACAACCAGACCACCUCUGCCCCUACUGAAGCUGGUGGUGAGCCAGUGAAGAUGCUGUGGACCGCCAAAGUGAUGAUGUGGUUGUCGCCACAACACCUGAUCCCCACAACCAGACCACAUCUGCCCCUACUGAAGCUGGUGAUGGAGCAAGUGAAGAUGCUGUGGCUACCACCCCAACACCAAAUCCCCCAACUACAUCUGACCACACUGCAGCUACCGGUAAGGACAUCAGUGCAUGUCUGUUUUGAUGGAACACUUUGAAUGUUUGCGCCCCCCUUUUGACAGUGUCGCUUUCUAUUUGUGCGUAAUCGCAAAAUGAUGCAAGUGAGGGUGCUGUGGCUGCCCAAACUGGAACUACUGUAUCCCAUACGACUGAAGUCUGAUUCGACUGCUCCUCUGGUCACAAUGACCUGUCUGGACUUUUUGCCUCUACAUUUUGACUGCAAUAAAGGACAGAUUUGUAUUUUUUAAUCAAAUGUUGUCUUGCCUUUUUCGAAUUGAGGCCUUGUCCUGUUUUGGUAGUGGAGAUGACUAUGAAGCCUCUUUCCUAACGUAUUUCCUGUAGUGGUUUUACUAUAUGCUUCAUGCAACAAGGCCUUCAACGACUCUACAAUUUAAAAGCAUCUAGUUGUGUCUGAAUUUGUAAAAUGGUUGAACUGGUAGUGAUGCACUAUAAUGGUGAACUGCUUGUGGCAUUUCAAUAAUCUCUACUGUACUGUUUGACAUGUACAUCUCAAGUGAAUUUGCGUGGUAAUUGGUAAACUGAUGUCCGUCCCUACUAAGGGAGUACUGGCCUUAGUAGGCCAACCCCCUGAAAGGCAUUCAAACAAUAACA
ensembl:lncRNA